CAAAGAUUUGGUCCCAGUCUUACUGUUAUUUUUUACUGAAAUUACACAUGCAAGUAUCCGCGCCCCAGUGAGGAGUUAACCCAAAAUUACUACUAAACAUAGUAAAAGGAGUUGGUAUCAGGCUCAUCAUAAUAGCCCAAGACACCUAGCCAUGCCACACCCACAAGGGAUUUCAGCAGUGACAAAUAUUAAGCCAUAAGCGAAAGCUCGACUUAUUUACAGUAAUACAGGGCUGGUAAACCUUGUGCCAGCAACCGCGGCUACACCAGGAGCCCAAAACAACAGUCCUACGGCGUAAAUUGUGGCUAAGACUAACAAAAAAAUUAAGGUAGACCCUUCACUUCUUUGUAAUAAGACCGCGUUCAAGUUAUCCCAUUGUAAAAACAACCUUAACCCUACCGCUUAUCCGAACCCACGAUAGCUAAGACACAAACUGGGAUUAGAUACCCCACUAUGCUUAGCCCUAAACCAUGAUAUUUAACAUAACACAAAUAUCCGCCCGAGAACUACGAGCCUACAGCUUAAAACUUAAAGGACUUGGCGGUGUCCCAUACCCAACUAGAGGAGCCUGUUCUAUAAGCGAUUAUCCACGAUCAACCUUACCACCCUUUGCCAUCCAGCCUAUAUACCGCCGUCUAAAGCUCACCUUAUGAAAGCUAAAAAGUAAGCAAAAUAGCUACUACAGCUAGAAAGUCAGGUCCAGGUGUAGCCAAUAGGGUGGAUGUAAUGGGCUACAUUUUCUAAAAUAGAAAUAUUCACGGACAGACCCUUGAAACAGGGACUAAUAAGUUGGAUUUAGCAGUAAUCUAAGAAUAGAAAGCCUAUAUUAAACCGGCCCUGGGACAAGCACACACCGCCCGUCACCUCCUCAAUAAACUAAUCAACCCCUUACAUAAAUUAACAAAACAUAAAAGAGAGGAGACAAGUCGUAACAAGGUAAGUGUACCGGAAGGUGUACUUGGAAUACC
rnacentral:ncRNA from 1 species